CUAAAAGAAUCCCAGCCACGGCAGCUUGUAUCCAGAGUCUAUUCAGCUGAUCUCUCCCAGGCAACAACCUCUUCCAGAGGGGGCAGUGGGCCAGGUAUUUGGCCUUGGUCAUCUAUCAUCGUCCCCCAACACAUGCUACAGAGUGUCCCUCCUCGACAUUUCAACUCUGGCACGAAGGCACUGUUCCUGACAUGAAGCUUAAACAGAGUCAGCGAUUCAUGGCCGUUCAAGGAAAACCUGUAAAUGCCAGAGUUCCAAGUAAACACUACUGAGAAAACAAAGGGAGCAGAGCCAUGGUGAUGGGCCAUGUUGCUAGCAACGGCACCCGUCGCUAGCUCACAAAGGCUACUCAACAAAGAGUACCUGGUAGACUGCAUGCCAUACGGUCUUUUCACUUUGUAAUAUUUGAAAGCUUGGGAUAGGACUUCAAAUCAAAUCAAAUUGUAUUGGUCACAUACGUACACAUUAGCAGAUGCUUGCUAACCUCCUCCCGAAAACCAUUAUAGCUGACGUCAUAUAAACAUUGGAUGAAGACAAUGCUAACAGUGCUAAAAAUACCAUUACAAAACAGUGACAAUGCUAAUGAGUAGGCUACAAUAUACAUACAUUUUGUGACGUUUCUUGUUCAUCUCCUUUUCUCUUCAAUUUCAUUUACAUGUUUUGUUUUUCUCAUAUGCAACCAUGGCUGCAGUUGUGUCGUCUUUCAGGGUUCGAGCACCAUUUACACAUUUUUCACUGCAACCUGCUGACAGCAACAAUAGCCGCCAUUGACAACAACACAGAAUGCAGCAAUCCCGCUGCUUCACUCUGGACCUCGCUGUGAUCUCCCCUUGUGGGUUUAAUCAGGAAAAGGUUCAACAUUUCAGCAUUAAUCCUCUUUGUUUUGUUCUCCCUACAAAGAGGGAAAUGGUCCUUUCUCUCUCUUUCUCCCUCCCUCCCUCUCUCUCUCUCUCUCUCUCUCUCUCUCUCUCUCUCUCUGCAUCAUUUUAAUUAAAGUAAUGGCAGAGGCAACCCAGAGAAGUGUAAGACUCUUUAGUUUCUUUCGGGAUGACAUCAACGUCGUCGCCAUGAUACCGUUUUCUCAUUUAGGAUGUUCAAUAAAGUCACACUCAGCUAAGGGUCUACAGCUGUGUGUCCCAAACACGCUAGUACACUCGGCCUGCAAAUCACACCAAGCUUAGAGGUAGCCUUUGUUAGGUGCCGCAUCACUAGCCUUUGCAAGAACGGAAAGGAGGGAUAACCAGGGGGACAAGAAGACACGGUGCUAGGGUCGACGACAGGGGAGAGAGAGUGUCAGACGGGAGAGGAGGUUGUCCUUGAUUGGUUCAACAGACACAUCCGAUCUCUAAAUCAUCUACACUCUUAGAAAAAAGGGUUCCAAAAGGGUUCUGCGGCUGUCCCCAUAGGAGAACCCUUUUUGGGAAGGGAAAGGGUAUAUCUAGUCAGUCGCACAACUGAAUGCAUUCAACCAAAAUGUGUCUUCCGCAUCUAACCCAAUCCCUUUGAAUUAGAGAAGUGCAAGGGGGCUGCCUUAAAUCGACAUCAGCGCCCAGGGGGCAGUUGUUGUGGGGGUUAACUGCGUUGAUCAAGGACAGAAUGGCAGAUUUUUCCACCUUGCUGGCUCAGGGAUUCGAACAAGCAACCUUUUGGUUUCUGUCCCAAUGCUCUAACCGCUAAAGGGUUCUACAUGGUACCCAAAAUAGUUCUACCUGGAACCAAAAGGUAUCUUCCUGGAACCAAAAUGGGCUCUUCAAAGGCUUCUCCUAUGGGGGUAGUCGAAGUACCCUUCUUGUGUCACGUUCUGACCUUAGUUCUUUUGUUAUGUCUUUGUUUUAGUAUGGUCAGGGCGUGAGUUGGGUGGGUUGUCUAUGUAAUUUUUUCUAUGUUGUGGUUUUGUAUCUGGCCUGGUAUGGUUCUCAAUCAGAGUUAGGUGUCGUUCGUUGUCUCUGAUUGAGAAUCAUACUUAGGUAGCCUUUUCCCACCUGUGUUUGGACUGGUAUGGUUCUCAAUCAGAGUUAGGUGUCGUUAGUUGUCUCUGAUUGAGAAUCAUACUUAGGCAGCCUUUUCCCAC
ensembl:lncRNA